rnacentral:rRNA from 1 species
CCUCGCCUGUUUAACAAAAACAUGUUCUUUUGUUUUAAAUAAAAGAUUUAACCUGCUCUAUGAUUAUUAAAUGGCUGCAGUAUUUUGACUGUACAAAGGUAGCAUAAUAAUUUGUCUUUUAAUUGAAGACUGGUAUGAAUGGUUGGAUGAGAAAUAUACUUUCUUUAUUUUAUAUAAAAAAAUUGAUUUUUUAGUUAAAAAGCUAAAAUAUUUUUAUAGGACGAGAAGACCCUAUAGAACUUUACUUUAAUAUAAAUAUACUAUUUAUAUAUUUUUAAAAUUUUAUAUUUUUAUUAAAGUUUUGUUGGGGUGACAAAAAAAAUUAUAUAACUUUUUUUUAUUAAAUCAUUAAUUUAUGUUUUUUUGAUCCUUUAUUAUGGAAAAUAAGAUUAAGUUACCUUAGGGAUAACAGCGUUAUUUUUUUGGAGAGUUCAUAUUGAUGAAGAAGUUUGCGACCUCGAUGUUGGAUUAAAAUAAGUUACAGGGGUAUAAUAUUGUACACUAGGUCUGUUCGACCUUUAAAUUUUUACAUGAUCGAUUUCCCACCCGGGAGGUUAC